rnacentral:tRNA from 1 species
CAGUAGAUAGUUUAUUUUAAAAUAUAGUAUUUGGGUUAUUAUGAAUGGUUACUGA